rnacentral:rRNA from 1 species
GAUGAACGCUGGCGGCGUGCCUAAUACAUGCAAGUCGAGCGAACAGACGAGGAGCUUGCUCCUCUGACGUUAGCGGCGGACGGGUGAGUAACACGUGGAUAACCUACCUAUAAGACUGGGAUAACUUCGGGAAACCGGAGCUAAUACCGGAUAAUAUAUUGAACCGCAUGGUUCAAUAGUGAAAGACGGUUUUGCUGUCACUUAUAGAUGGAUCCGCGCCGCAUUAGCUAGUUGGUAAGGUAACGGCUUACCAAGGCAACGAUGCAUAGCCGACAUGAGAGGAUGGCAGGCAACACUGGAAACACACACGGGACGAGACUAAUACGGAGGGAGGAAGUAGGGGAGCUUGCGAAAUGGCAGGAAGACUGAACGAGCAACGACGCGUGAGGAAUAAAGGUAUAAGUAUCGAAAAAAUCUGUGAUUAGGGAAAAACAAAUGUGCAAGUAAAUAUGCCCGUCUUGACGGUACCUAAUCAGAAAGACACGGCUAACUACGUG